CCAGACUCCUACGGGAGGCAGCAGUGGGGAAUAUUGCACAAUGGGGGAAACCCUGAUGCAGCGACGCCGCGUGAGUGAAGAAGUAAUUCGUUAUGUAAAGCUCUAUCAGCAGGGAAGAAAAUGACGGUACCUGAGUAAGAAGCCCCGGCUAACUCCGUGCCAGCAGCCGCGGUAAUACGGAGGAUCCGAGCGUUAUCCGGAUUUACUGGGUGUAAAGGGAGCGUAGGCGGUGCAGCAAGUCAGAAGUGAAAGCCCGGGGCUCAACUCCGGGACUGCUUUUGAAACUGUGUGGCUGGAGUGUCGGAGAGGCAGGCGGAAUUCCUAGUGUAGCGGUGAAAUGCGUAGAUAUUAGGAGGAACACCAGUGGCGAAGGCGGCCUGCUGGACGAUGACUGACGUUGAGGCUCGAAAGCGUGGGGAGCGAACAGGAUUAGAUACCCCGGUACAA
rnacentral:rRNA from 1 species